AUGGUAGAAAACUUAAAGUUUCAUAGAAUCCAGGGAGGUGAUAUAAAUAAGCAAAUCAGCCUGGUAGUACGCUAUGCUGAACGGAAGAGAAUGUGCGUCAGCUGGCCUGGAGCACCGUCAGAGGAAAAUUAUCUAUUACAUGAAAGUGUUCAAAUAUCUACAUGGAAUUGUUCAUGGUCCUUUCUUAUAAAAAAUAGUUCUAAGCACUUCUGAUUUUAGCUUCUAACUAUAAAGAGCUUAGAAAUUAGCAAUUCUGUAUUACAACAAUAAAAAAAGCUGAGCAAACUGAAAAUCA
rnacentral:lncRNA from 1 species